UACGAAGGGGGCUAGCGUUGCUCGGAAUCACUGGGCGUAAAGCGUCACGUAGGCGGAUUCUUAAGUCGGUAGUGAAAGCCUGGAGCUACAACUCCAGAACUGCCUUCGAUACUGAGAGUCUUGAGUCCGGGAGAGGUGAGUGGAAUGCGAGUGUAGAGGUGAAAUUCGUAGAUAUUGCAAGAACACCAGUGGGCGGAAGGCGACUUCCUGGC
rnacentral:rRNA from 1 species